UAAAAAAAAAUUCAUUCAUUUCUAUUGUUAAAAACUGACAAAAUAACAAAUAUUGACAUGUGGCAUGUCAUUUGUACCUCAUGUUGAUGUACAAGGACCAACUUUUAACAGUAAAAAUGAAUAAAAUUUUUAAUA
rnacentral:pre_miRNA from 1 species